UACGGAGGGUGCAAGCGUUAUCCGGAUUCACUGGGUUUAAAGGGUGCGUAGGUGGGCAGGUAAGUCAGUGGUGAAAUCUCCGGGCUUAACCCGGAAACUGCCAUUGAUACUAUUUGUCUUGAACACCGUGGAGGUCAGCGGAAUAUGUCAUGUAGCGGUGAAAUGCUUAGAUAUGACAUAGAACACCAAUUGCGAAGGCAGCUGGCUACACGAAUAUUGACACUGAUGCACGAAAGCGUGGGGAUCAAACAGG
rnacentral:rRNA from 1 species